GACGAACGCUGGCGGCGUGCUUAACACAUGCAAGUCGAACGGUGAAGCGCCUUCCUUUUUGUUGGUGUUGGUUGGUUGGCCACGGGGUGGUUACAAGGUAAGAAACUGCCCCCUUCUUUUUGAUAAACCGAUUGAAGUGUUGCUUAUUACGGGUUUUCUUGGUUUUUCGCAUUGUGGGUUCUGGGAAGGUUAUUUUUUCGUUGGGGGUUGGGCUCGCGGCUUAUCAGCUUGUUGGGGGGGUGAUGGCUUACAAAGGCGGUGACGGGUAGCCGGCCUGAGAGGGUGGACGGUCACACUGGGACUGAGACACGGCACAGACUCCUACGGGAGGCAGCAGUGGGGAAUAUUGCACAAUGGGCGCAAGCCUGAUGCAGCGACGCCGCGUGAGGGAUGGAGGCCUUCGGGUUGUGAACCUCUUUCGCCAGUGAAGCAGGCCUGCCUCGUUUGUGGGUGGGUUGACGGUAGCUGGAUAAGAAGCGCCGGCUAACUACGUG
rnacentral:rRNA from 1 species